rnacentral:rRNA from 1 species
GACGAACGCUGGCGGCGUGCCUAAUACAUGCAAGUUGAGCGAUGAAGAUUGGUGCUUGCACCAAUUUGAAGAGCAGCGAACGGGUGAGUAACGCGUGGGGAAUCUGCCUUUGAGCGGGGGACAACAUUUGGAAACGAAUGCUAAUACCGCAUAACAACUUUAAACAUAAGUUUUAAGUUUGAAAGAUGCAAUUGCAUCAUUCAAAGAUGAUUCCGCGUUGUAUUAGGUAGUUGGUGAGGUAAAGGCUCACCAAGGCGAUGUUACAUAGCCGACCUGAGAGGGUGGUCAGCCACAUUGGGACUGUGACACGGCCCAAACUCCUUCAGGUGGCGGCAGGAGGGAAUCGUCAGGAAGCGGCGGAAGACUGACCGAGCAACGCCGCGUGAGUGAAGAAGGUUGUCGGAUCGUAAAACUCUGUUGGUGGGGAAGAACGUUGGUGAGAGUGGAAAGCUCAUCAAGUGACGGUAACUACCCAGAAAGGGACGGCUAACUACGUG